rnacentral:rRNA from 1 species
GGGGAAUCUUGCGCAAUGGGCGAAAGCCUGACGCAGCGACGCCGCGUGAGUGAUGAAGGCCUUCGGGUUGUAAAGCUCUGUGGAGAGGGACGAAUAAGUGUUGGCUAACAUCCAGCAUGAUGACGGUACCUCUUUAGCAAGCACCGGCUAACUCUGUGCCAGCAGCCGCGGUAAGACAGAGGGUGCAAACGUUGUUCGGAAUUACUGGGCGUAAAGCGCGUGUAGGCUGCUCUGCAAGUCGGGUGUGAAAGCCCUGGGCUCAACCUAGGAAGUGCACUCGAAACUGCAGAGCUGGAGUCCUGGAGAGGAAGGCGGAAUUCUCGGUGUAGAGGUGAAAUUCGUAGAUAUCGAGAGGAACACCGGUGGCGAAGGCGGCCUGCUGGGCAGUUUGGCUGACACUGAGGCGCGACAGCGUGGGGAGCAAAC